CUUGGUUUAAAAAAGCGCUCGCUUUUGGUGCCAUGGCGCUAGGCGAGGUCUGGCGAUGUCUUCAUCGCCUCAGCACCUCAAGGCGUGGCGACUUACACAAAGCGAGCGCUUUCUACGCUUUCUUACUAAACCUAAGGCUCCUAAAGCAACGCCUUAAUUGAUUUUAAGUCAAACCGAAUUGGUUUGCCAAAUUUAAACUGCUAAACCAGAGUUAGAUUUGUAACACAUCUUUGGCGUCACAUAAAAGCCUUUUUCAAACCCUAAGUUAGUCUUAUAUACCGUAACCUAAGUUUAAAAUUAGGGUUCCAUGUGCUAUUGUUCUUCUCUCUAUUUCAUGGCUUUGAUGUUUGACGUUUCUCCUGAUCUUUUUGUGCACUGGUAAGUACUCUGUUUUGCACUUUGGUUCUAAACUUGUAUUCUAUCUAUACCUCUAUUUUUGCACUAUAGUUUUUGCCUUCACACACAAAGCGCUCGCUUUGUGUCGCCAUGGCGCAAGGCGAGAGGCGAGACACUCAUCGCCUCACCUCGCCAUGCGCCAUUUUGAACCAAGGUGUUGUCAAUAAAGCAUACAUCAAUUAUUUUCUAAACAUGACACUUAUACAAAGUAAAAUUCGUACCUUUCUGGUGCUCAACAGGAUGGCUCUGCGUUUGGGGUUCGUAUGGAUUAUCAUCAAACUCAGAUGUCACUUCAGAUUCAUCAUCUUCUGGAACAACGACAGUGUCAGCCUGUACAUGAUCUCUUCCAAGAUUUCCAAAGGGACCAUUUUCUGCUAAAUGUGUAUCUUCCAAGUGGCCCUUUAGUUGUUGAUCCCCUCCGCUGGAUUGGAAAUCAGCUGGACCAUUACAUAUCACUGACUCAGUCGGUGCCACCGAUACAGAAGAGGUGCUGGCAGCCAUUGGCUUCUCAAUUGAGGGCCAUUGAUCUUUUACAGUUUCAUGCUCCUGAUUAACCGCAGAAACAUUUUUCUGAGAAUUGGUUGUCUUGGUAUGAGGUCUACCCAUCUUCACAAUGUCAGCCAUAGACCUCUGACCUGCAGCUCCAAACCAUGCAGGUUGCUGUACCGAAACAGGCUGUGAUGAUGAUAUUCCACCACCCGAGCUCACAGUUGGCGUUUUACUGUCCACAGCAACAGAAUCACUGCAUAAUAUAUACAACAUACAUGAGCAACCUGUGACUCAAAUGUAAAGAUGAAAAAAAACUAUAAUUCCUGACACCUCUCAAGUUUCAACAGAUGUAAAAACAUUAUACCUUGACGACAACAACUACAUAGAAACUAUAUAUCCAAGUACAUAACACGUUUGCUAUGUUAUAAAUUCCAUUGUCUCUAGUGAAUCAGACAAGAAUUGUACAUGGAAUAUUGCUUAGCAUCAGCAUACAACUUUCAACAUCAAGAAAGAAAAGUAUUCAAGACUCCUGAUGGAACAAUAACAUAUUCUGUUCUUCUAGCAGUAAGCCAUAGGCCGCCUAAAUACUUCAAGCCAUUUACAGCUGAAACCAAUUAAAGCUCUGUUUAUCACUCUAGAAACUUUUGUAUGAAAAACUUAACUGGUCACCAGACAUUCUAAAACAUAACCUACAUUUGGUUGGUCAGGAAACCUAUUUAACUAAAUCCUACCAACUGAAUCAUUGCAAUAUAAGUCUCUGAAGACUGUACUAAACUAAUAAAAGAAAGAGAGCAGCUUAUAGACCACAUUGUUUAAUUUUAAGUGCCAUACACGGAGCUAUUCAUACAAGAAAGAUGAAGUGAGAACUGAAGGGAAAACCUGUGUGGUAUCUGCUGGUGGCUCGGUGCUCCAGACGUAGAAGAAAAAGAACCUCCAUACGUCUGCUUCUCGCUCUCUCUCUUGUUCGUUGUUUUUCCCUGGAAACUUCCCGACUCUGAACAAAAAAAAAAAUUCAUGUGAAUACGGAUUCAAAGAAGUUAUCCUAAAGCCAAAAAGAAGUGCAUAUGUACAUCUCUUGUCUAAUAUAUACCACUAGAGUUGAAGGAGGAAGCUCCAGUUCGUCGAGGUCCAGCAUACCGAUCAGAACCACCUCUAGUCCCACGGUUGUAAUUGUUACUAUAGCCUCGUGGUCGUGAAUCCUGUAUAUCCCUAACCUGAAACAGUAAAUAAUUAUAUUAUAACAACAUGAAUUAAAGACUAACUGAAACCAAAACAACAUCUAGUAGAGAAAGGCAUUGAAAUUAAUCAUUCGAAACACAUAAAGUGAGAGACUUAAGUAAACACAUACCUCUUUCUUCUUAUCCUUUUUGCUCUUAACCUCGUGAAAAGGAUCUGAACAAUUCAAGAAACAAGAAUCAGUAUGAUAUUAUUAGCUACCUCUAAUGUAAGCACAGAGCUCGAAAGGUGGAGACUUUUGAAUGUCUAAUCUAAAAAAGGAGAGACCUUGGGAGAGGAGGCGAUUGACGGCUUCGUUAGGAUCCAUGUUACAGUCUUUGAGGACGGCGUAGAUCUCUGCCUCGGGGCAGUUCACAAUCUCUUUCAAGCUCUGUACCAUCUUCCUCGACCCUGUCGGGAUGUCUGAAACCCCGUUAUAGCUUUUCUUUCCUCCACCACCGAUGAUCUUUACGCCGCUCAUCUUCUCCGUCGUAGGCUCUGUCUCUCUGUAUCUCUCUCGCUGAAUCAGAUCUGAACAGAACAAACUCGCGAAGUAAUGAAGAAGAAGAGGAAGCAGCAAGUAAGGAGUUUUAUAUCUGUCCAAAAAGAAACCCUCUCUCUCUCUCCUCUAUGAUUCUUUUUUUACUUUUUUUUUUUUGGGUUAAUAGACCAUCAUUAAUUAGAGUUAUCCACUCGAAUAAUCAAAAUCCAAAUGUUUAUCCACUAUAGUCUUGAAAUCACAUAUAGUUUUUUCCUUUAUUUAGCAUAUUUUUUUCUUAUGUUGUCACAACAGAAAUAGCUGAUUAAUUACAAAAAGUUAUUAUUUUUUGAGAUUUUUUACCAAAAAAUGUUUGCUUUCUAUAAAAAAUAUUAAUAUUGUAUUUUGUAUAUAUAAAAAAAUGCAAAUCUAUAACUCUAAGAUUACUCUAAUAUAAAUCAUAUAGUUAGCAUUCAGUUUUGUUCUUAAUUUAGCAUAAAGUUUUUUUUCUUGUGUAACUAAUUAAUUACAAAAAGUAUAUUAUAAUUUGGAGGAUUUUUUAAUUUAAGUUUGAUUUUUAAGUAUUAAAAAUCUUCAUAUUUAAUUCCAUAAAUAUGAACAAAUAUAUAAAUCUAAGAUUGCUCUAGUCUCUAUUCAUAUAAAGUUUUUUGAAACAAAUCAGUUGCAUUUUCUUUGGGGAUGAAUAUUACAAAUAUUACAAAUACUCAAUAUUUAUUACCAUAUUCAAUAUUUCAAAUAGUUUUACAUUGUUUAGUAUAAUGUUACUUUUUCAUUAAUAUUUAAUAUUUAUAUUAUUUUUUUUGAACACCAUUUAAUAUUUAUCUAGAAGGCACAUUACUAUAUGUUCUGUUAAACAAAUCUCACAGCUGAAAAAAUGCAACAUUUUUAUCUCUAAAUGUUUGUAUCAAUGAUGUGGUCAUGGAAACAUAAAAUAACAAAAUGGAUGUGAAAGUAAGAAGAACAAGGAACAUGGGCCUUAUCAGCAACUAAGAACACAAAUUCGACAAAGGCCCAUGUUAAGAAAAACGAAACAUCGCCGUGUUUGUGCUCCUUUGUGAAACCCUAGACUUGAGUAGUUUUGUGUGACCUGGCUAUAUAUCUAUACUAAUAAAGUAGCUCAGAAAGGCUCCAGGUGAAGCCACGUCAGCAGACCCUGUUUGUUUUGUUGACACGUGUCGAAGGGAGAGGGGAUUUCGUUUUUUCCGCGUGAAACUUUGAUUCAGGAAAGGGAUUUCGUUUUUGAUUUAUUGGGCUUUAAUGAUAUCCCAAGCCCGUUUGUGGUUAAGGUUUGGUGUUUCUUUGAGAUUGCGAUCUUCGCCGUCCUCUUUCCAUCGUCUCCGAUUUCGGCUCCUCACUGUAACGUAUUGCUUCUCAUUGAAAUUGAUCUUUAAUUUGGUCAUCAAGCUUUACCCCACCUCUCUUCCCACUCCAUCUCAUUUACUCUCAUUGACGAUCCGCAUUUGUAACAGAUCGAAGGUGUCGCUAUAAAUAAGUGUGUCUUGGAACGAUGAGGAUCUACAGCUUUGAGAUUUAUAGCUUUUGUAUUAGUUUUUUUUGUGAAUUAUAGCUUUUGCAUUAGUUUUUUUUUUGUGAACCAUAAAUAAUAAAUCUUUGGCAGGUCGUCAAUGGAUUCCGAUGUGGUGGAGAUUGCUCCUCCUGCAUUUGCUUUGGGUUCUACAACUCUGGAAAUCCAAAAAGGUCGAAUCUUUCUAUCCUGUUGUGUAGUUAAUGUAUAAAUCAUGGGCCGUACUUGAGCAGCUUCUUAUAAAUCUUAUCAACUCCAUUGAUUGUGCUCCAGAAACAGAGCUCCUCAAACUCGAGUGUAAGCUUCCCUGGAGGUAAUGUGAUUAUAGAUCGGAAUGGCAUAAGAACAGAUGCGGUAGAGUUCCCAAGUUUAGCAACCAGUGGGUUCCGAAUGUAAGCUUCCAUUACGUCUGGUUUGUUCAGCCGCUCUCUCUAUGUGAUCUAGCAUAUGUAUGUCAUCGUUGUACUGUAUUGUGUGCUCUCUCAAAUUGCGUAUUAACUUCAUAUAGUGAAAAGUAUGUGUUUGAAAAAAAACAUGUGUUUGUGUAACAUCUAUUCCAUUCUCUAUUGUUGCUUAAAAUCUUAAGAUCUUGUCUGAGGCUUCACAUGGUUAUUACGUUUCUCCUGAUGCAAUGUCUAGAGAUUUGCCUUCUUAUGAAUUUAGUAAUGCCAGCAUUAAACUUAUGAUAUUAUUGUUAUGUGCAAAAUCUAUUUUACACUUGUGUUUUCUUAUCUCUAAAUUUACUGAAAAAAACUGAUUCCAUCUGAAAUAAGUUAUGAUGGUUAGAUCUCUGGAGUGCGUCACUAAAAACGUGUGGAGAAAGGGUCAAGGAUUUUCUGGCUUCAGCAAGUCCGGGCCGAGCACUGUCUCAAAGUGAUGGUUGUCAACAGCUGUUUUAUUAUGUUGGAAAAUCAUUGUCUAAUAAAUCUCAAGGUAUAAUAUUCUCCAAGUCAUACUCGAAACAUAUUUCCUUAUGUAUUUGCUCUUUUUAUUUCAUACUUUAACAUGCAGCAACGGGAGGGCCUGGUGGCGUUGCUGGGUUUAGAAUCGCAGAUCUCUGGCGGUUUUCUUAACAAGUAUUAGUCAUCGAUUUCUUCUGCUUUCUGUGAUAAUGAUUUUUGGUUCUGUAAUAAGAUAUUUUCCUUUCAUUUGGCUGCCUUAGACUCAAUGUAACUUAUGAUUCUAAUGAUUUAAAUUCCAAUCAGCUUCAUGUUAUUUAACGAUGACCAUGACAAAACAAACAGCCGCCAACUACACUCACCUUCACUGGCGGCCUAUAGAGCACUACAUCAACAAGAUUCCAACUUCUACAAAACUCUUCUCGCCUUCAGCUACAAACUAUUGCUCUGUUCCUUAUCUGUUAUAAAUUUUGCAUUACGAUUUAUCAAGGAAAAGAAAGCAUGCGACUGGUCGUGGAUCAAAAAAUAUUUUUAAUAGAGAUUUUUUUUUAUUAUUAUUAUAAUAUAUAUGUAAAUAAAUCAUAUUUAUUAUCAAUAAUUAUUUAUAAUGCGUUACAUAAAUUAAUAAAGUGAAUACUUUGAAAGCACAGAAUAAUUUUAUUUAUGUGAUUAAUAUAUAUCUGUAGUAUUUUGUCACAAAUAUGUAUUGUUUGUUAAAACGAACUAAAAUAAGCUAAAUAAAUUAUAAAUGAGUUUUCAAAAAACAUAAAUACAAUUGGAUAACUAAUUAAAGAGAAUUCCACUAUAACUAUAUUAGCAAAACUAAAAGGUAUAUUAAAAUAAUGAGCCAAGUUUUUCAAUUAGUAUAUCGAAAAAAAACAGUAUGUAAGCUGAGCGAGCAAAUAUAAGAAAACAUCUUUUUCAAAAAAAAAAAAAAUCAAUAGUAGGUUUUAAUUAGUUAAGAAAAAAAAAUGAAUUGAAACCAUGAGAAAAAAGAACUGAACAAACAUUGGUUGGAGGCAGCCAAAUCUAUCAAAAUACUUAAUGAUAUCAACAAAUCUAUAAAACAUUUAACUAUUUAGUUAGAAUUAGCUAUUGAGAUUUGUCUGCAUUAUAAACGUGGGUGUAAUUAAGCUUAUUUAUUGAGAGAAAUUUAUGGGUCAUUAUAUACUUUUUAUUAAAAAAUUGAAUUAAAAUGAAUUCAGAUUAAAAAAAAAAAACAAUACUCAAUUGACAACAAAAGACACAAAAAUAAGGAAAAUUUCCAAUAUACAACAAAAGCAAUAUCUCACACAAGAAAGAAAAUCCCUUACAUUAACAAUUCACAUCGUCUGCCAAGGCAAUCCCCAAAACGACAAACCACAAUCAAACAACCUACUAUGCCAAGCAGUUCAGUCUACAAGAAAAUACUUUGAUUAGUGAUCACCAGAAUACUAGAUAUUGAUUGGUAUAGUAGUUGGGUCAAAUGAUUGUACCAUUUCAAUCAGGUUUUAAAUUUUUUAAUUUAAUUUUAAAUAAAAUAAAUAAAUACAAUAUAUAUAUAUAACUAUAUAAUUAAUUUGUAUAAGAUUUUAUAUUAUUUUUAAUUCAAUUCAAUAUAAAACAAUAAUUUUUUAAAAAUAAUAUAAAAGAUAAUGAAAAUAAUUAUUUUAGAUAAAUAUUAAAACUAAUGUGAAUUUUAAUGAAAUUAUUUUAAAAUUUGAGAAAACCAUGAUUAUCAGUUUUAGAGAAUUUAAUCAGGUUUACCGGUUUAAAUGAAUCCGAUUUAUGGUACGAUUCAAAUCCUAUUAGAAAACUAACUGAUUCGGUCUUCGAAAGACUAUGUAAUAUGUAAAAAAAAUAGUUUAAAGAUAAAAGGACUGUCCAAAAUAAAUAUCAAAUUACCAACUAUAAACAAACAAGCAAAAAAUGAAAAAGAUCACCUAAAAGCAAAAGUUCAUAAAAAACACAAAGGAAUGUUUUAACAACCAUUUAAAUCAUAUUCUAACUCUAAAAUAAGAAUGCCUUAACAAUAAUUUAGAUCAGAUUCUAGCUCUAAAACAAGAAUCUCUUAAUAACAGUUUCAAAUUUCACAAUUUAGAUCAUACCUGAAAUGAGUAAACAGACAACAACUAACCUCUGAAUAACCAAUUUUUAGGUUCGGUUUAAUGUUCUUUAGAAAUACUACUCUUCUACCUGACAACAUAAUUAUACAAUGAUAGUUUACAAAUAAAUAUUACAUAAUUAGAAAACCGAUAUCCUGCACGAAGCGUAGACAAAUCACUAGCGAUCUUUUGUCACAUAUUUCUUACAUAGCAACCAAAUUACAUGGUUAAAUUAUUACAUCCUAAAAUGUUGAAAACCGGCGCGUAGCGCCGGAACACCACUAGUAUAUAUAUAACGGCGAGAAUUGUCUUCAAAACAAAACAACACAACACUCUUCUCUAGUUAUGUCUCAAUGGUCUUUUCGUGUCUUGUUAUUCUAUUGUUAUGUUAUUUUCGGAUGUUCUUGACUAUGGUUGGUGGAAUGUGAUGAUAUGUAAUUGUCGCCCCAGUCUUAUUUGCAUUCACUACGAUGGAUGCAACAUGGUGAUUGACUUUUCAGUAUCUGAUUUCAUUAAUAGUUUUCUUCAUAGGAUAGUUUCGAUGUUUCAAGUUUUGGUUUUGUUAUGAUUCAUAUUUUAGAAGAAGAAGAGGAAUGAGGAGAAUUAUCCAACGUCUAUUAGUUCUGAACAAUAGUGUUGAACCAAUGACAUGCACUACCAUCUGACCUCUUCUCUUCCAAUGUUGUUUUGUGUUGUAUUGACGAAUGCCUUUGGUAUCUGAUGUCCAAAGUUAAUAAAAAGUAGUUGGACAUUUCGUAAUUCAAGGCGUAGAUGGAAUAAUAAAACAGGUUUUGCGACACUGAUUGCUUUCUCCUAAUAAGCUCUCUGUUACUGUACCCCUGUUUAUAUCUUCCCACUUAAGUAUGUAUCUGUUUGUUGUUUUGUUUUUCCUAAGUUUUAAUUUUGGUGUGCCUUCUUGAUAAUGUAUCCUAAUAACCCUGGCAAGCUUCAAUAUUGGAAGUCCCAAGAACAAGAGAAUAAUGUAUCCCAAGAACAAGCUACAAUAGUCCCAAAAAGAAAAUAUCUUUAGAGAAGAUAUGUCCCUUGACGGCAACUAGUAGAUUUUUCCAUGUAAACACGGUUAAACUCUUUUAGUUAAAGUCUUGAAGCAAUGGUCUGCUUUCUCUUUCUUCAGAGUUAUGAAGAAAGGAGUCUCGAGUUUGAGAUUGCUGUACUAAAUUGAUCAAGGAAGCAGAAAGACCCUUUGAAGAUUGUCUUAGCUUCUUAAAGCAGACUUGGUGUUUUCUUCUACAAAGGAGAAGCUCUAGUAAAGUUUGCUUAUCGCACAUGUAUCUUGUCAUGACUGAAUUGUAUUGCUCGUUGUUCUUUAUUAAAAAGAAAGUUUAUCUAUUUGUUCAUUCUCUAAAUCACAUUUUAGAGUUCUACAGAAUGAUAACCAUCUAUUUAUUUAAUCAUUAUUCAAUAAAGCAGGCUUAUCUUCUUAAGCGUCUUCAGUUUUUUUCGAUUAUACAACAAAGACCGUUGACAUUACUUUUGCACUUGCCAGUUUAGUUGUGUGAACUUUUGUUCCAGGAGCUGCCCUGUACUGUCUUCUUAAAAGCAUGUACUAGUUCCUCCUGACUUAACAUGUUCUCAUAUCUAUUUGCUUAGAUUCAUUCAUAAAACAUGUUCCCUCACAAGUCAUUACCUAGCCUCGAUAAGAAAGAACAUUACGACACUUCGCCAGACCCGCACGUGAUCAACUAACUGUUCACAAUCAUCGGAGAUUCACCAUAACUUGUUCUACUUACAUCGUAAUCUUAGCCUUGUCUUUCUUCUCCCACUUGCACUUCUUUUGUUUCGUGUCGACCAAGUUUUAUUUUUCUCAACUUAUUGGUAAAUAAAAUUUAUUGGAAACUUAUAACAUACAAUGCGAUGUAAAAAAUAACAGGUCCUAAUUGAAAUGUUAAUGAAAAACAGAGGAUCUCUCGAAAAGCCCUAAAGAAACCCUACUCAGUUCGAUCCGACAGCUUCUUUCAGUGACUUGUCUCUAUUUGUUUGGGUAAUUAAGACACUCUCUCGAGUGGUGUGAUGGAGAUCGACUUGGGAGCCAACGCGUUCGGUAUAGACUUCCACCCAUCUAAAAAUCUCGUAGCUACUGGUCUCAUCGAUGGCCACUUGCAUCUGUAACUCGAAAGCCCUUCUCUUUCAAUCCCUUGUUCCACAAUUCCACCAUAGAAACACCAACCAUAUAACCUCGUACUCUGUUUUUUUUGUUUCAGAUACCGUUACGACACAGAGUCUUCACUUGUCAGGUAUUAAAAAACAGCUCUUUCUAUCUCCAAAGUUUGUCUCUUUUUGUUCUGGGUCGUCUUAAAAGAUCGCUUUUGGUGUUUAGGGAGCGUAAAGUUCGAGCCCAUAAGGAGUCUUGCAGAGCUGUUCGCUUCAUCGAUGAUGGCCAAAGUUUGUUCCUUUACGCCUUUAUAAUACUAAUCCGAGCUCAUGUUUUGAACAGUUUUAGUUAGAUUGUAUGCUUUUUAUUUGUUAUUAGGAAUCGUCACAGCUUCAGCUGACUGCUCUAUUCUAGCUACCGAUGUGGAGACCGGUGCUAGCGUUGCACAUCUUCAGAAUGCUCACGAGUAAAUUCUAUUCCCCUUUUUUUUAUAAUUUGUUACACUUUAGUUUUAUAGUGACUGAAUAUAUUUCACAUUGGUCUUGUAGGGAUGCUGUUAACACUUUGAUUACUGUUACUGAUACAACGAUCGCUUCAGGGGAUGAUCAAGGCUGUGUUAAGGUCUGUACAGUUAUAUUCUCUCUCGUCUUUGAUCAUUAUUGAGAAAUUUAAAGCUACUAUAAUACAGUUUACAAAUUGGUAUCAGUGAAAUUAUUUAUAUUCUCUAAUGAAAAUUAUGUACUUUGUUUUAUGAUAAUGUAUGUUUGAUCUGCUCAGAUUUGGGAUACGAGACAGCGCUCUUGCUCUCACGAGUUUAACGUCCACGAGGAUUACAUUUCUUGCAUGACCUUUGCAUCUGAUUCAAUGAAGCUAGUGGCUACAAGGUUUAGAUUUUUUUUUUUUGUGGUCAUCUUGAUUUAGUGAAUCUAGUGCCUUUUGUUCUUUCACUUAUGUGUUCUAUUGUUGGAAUCUUUUGAUUGUGUUUAGUGGAGAUGGGACACUAUCUGUAUGUAAUCUCAGAACAGGCAAAGUCCAAUCUCAGUCUGAGUUUUCUGAAGACGAACUUCUUUCUGUUGUUAUUAUGAAGGUAAAAAAUCAUCUCAAGCUCUUCUGUCUCCACAUUGUUGGAUACUUAUCUAAUUUGUAUUAUUAUUAUUUCCUCUUACCUGAUUGAUUUUCAGAAUGGCCGUAAAGUUAUAUGUGGAACUCAAAAUGGUAUCCUCAUGUUGUAUUCAUGGGGAUUUUUCAAAGAUUGUAGGUAUGCCAUAUAUCUCUAACACUGACUAUUAUGUUAAUAUGGCUUUAGGCAUUAUUAAUGUUUCUUUUUCGCUAUCUGUAGUGAUCGUUUUGUUGAUCUAUCUCCAAAUUCAGUUGAUGUCCUUUUAAAGGUGAGAUGAAAUUUGUUUUUUUUUGUUAAGCAUAUGGUUACUAUAACAUUAGUGGACUAUUGACUAAUGGAAGUCUUGUGAAUUAAUGAUGUAGCUUGAUGAGGAUAGAGUUAUCACUGGAUCUGAUAAUGGAAUAAUCAGGUAACCAAGAGAGAAACUCUUCUUCUUCUUCCAUAGAGAAGACUCUUUACUGUUUAUGUUCAGUUAAUUCAAAGUUAAUUUGUAUUUUUGUCUCCAGCCUUGUUGGGAUACUGCCCAACAGAAUCAUUCAGCCAAUUGGGUCUCACGAGUUCCCUAUCGAAGAUCUCGGUAUCUUACACUUCUCUAUUUUCAUAACAGCAGUUUUGCUUAGAGUGAGUUUCUAACUUUUUUUGUGUUGAAUCUCUCUUGUAGCUCUCUCGCAUGAUAACAAGUUUCUUGGUAGCACAGCUCAUGACAGUAUGCUCAAGGUAUCUCUGUCAGUAGUAAAGAGUUAACACAAAUGGAUCCCUGAUUUACUUUUUUGUGUGUUACUCGUGAUGAAGUUGUGGGACUUAGAAGAAAUUAUAGAAGGUUCUAAUGGAAACGCAUCAGGAGCUGCAGGAGACAGUGACAGCGACAACGAGGAGAUGGACCUUGACAAUGACCCCAAGCCUUCAAGAGGUACUUUCUGGAACAUUUAGAAACAUUUUUUUCUUGAGAUAAGUAAAGGUACCAACCAACAUUUGAAGCAUCUCAUCUCUGAGUUAUUGUUUGCUUUGUACAGGUACCAAGAGGAAAACAAAAAGUAAACCAACUCCGGUGGACACUACAACUAGUUUCUUCGCAGACAUGUAGAUUCGUCUCUGGACAAAUGUAUCAGUUUCAUACUCAUCUUUUUUUUUAUUCUGACAGUUUUGUUAAGCUACAUUUAUAUUUUUAUCAAAGUUUUACCACUACGAUUUUUUGUUCAUCAUUCAACAAUAUAUAUUACACAAAAGAAAAACAGAACUAUGUUCACAUCUCAUCAUGAAUCCAAAACUCAUCGACAUGAAUAGAAGAUAAUUUUUGUUCUUGUUCGUAUAUUUUUCAAAACACUCACAUUAUUAUCAAGAAAAUACAUUCAUGGUUGAAUGUACAUAAAAUAAUCUAUGGACCAUGUAGCUUUAGAUGUCCACUGUUUUGCUGAAUGAUUUCCUCCUCAUGUUCUUCAUCAUCACAACAAACAUAUCUAUGAGUCAAAAUUAUUAGGAAUAAAUAUACACAAUACAUGGACUACACUGUAUGAAUCACAAUGGCAAAAAAAAUCAAGAUUUGAUGCCUGGAUAAGACUAGGACAAAUACUAAAUGAAUCUAAUCCUUGUAACUGUAGGUAAUGCAAGCAAGGUUUCAGAAGCUGAUAGAGAACAACAGACUGAAACUGUUAAGCAGCACUAUACUAUACCUUUAAAGAGCCAUGCACUAAUUAAAAUUCUCUCAAGAGCUCCAUGAACCCUCUUACUUAGCAUACUUGGAUGUUAGGAUUCUAGGAAACUUUUUAAGUGAUGGACAUUUUUUUUUAAUAAAAGAACAACUGAAGCUUCCAAGAUUCUUAAACUCAAGCUUACCUGUAUUAUCUUUCUGAACCUGCCAUCACAUCAAACAAACCGCAGCAACUCAACCACGAGGUUCGAGUAACUGGUGGACCAGAAGGGAGAAGAUUCUGCAUAUAUGUCCAGAAGAUUAAAUGUGCUCAAAUACAGAAUUAAAGAAAACUAGAUGGUACCUUGUCUUCAGAAGAUUCUGGCACUUGAGAUUCUUUACUUGUUUCAGCAUUAGAUCCUGGAAUGUUACCCUCCUUUGCUUCUUCUAGCUGGACAGAACCCAAAUCUGUCGAGAUUUCAGCUGGCACAUUGUUGUUAGUAAUCACAACCUUUGAGACAGAAUCAUCAGCAGGUGCAAUUUCCAAAGUACCACCACCAGCCUCUUUAGUAGCUGCUUUAACAGUAUUGUGAGUAACAUUUUCAGAAAAGUUAUUGUGUGGUUUGUCCACACCGUUCUUCUCCUCGUGACAUGUUCCUCUUCCAAGUGCAGUAACGUCUUCACCUUUAGCUUCUUGUCCUUGAGGAACGUCUGUUUUAUCUUUAACAGUGUCCUUCUUCAGACCAGAUAAUGGAGAAGGUGAUGGAUCUCUUGUCCAAACUUCUCCAUUUCCUUGAGAACCAGGGGAACUCAAGUUGCCAUCACUUUCUCCUUCAUCUUGGCUUCCAUGUUCAUCAUACCCUGAGAUGUUCAGUAAACAUAAAGAUCCAAGAAAGUACUAAAAGCUACGUAUACCCCACAAAGAUCCCUAAAAUUGAUUCUUAUAGAUUAGGACCAAAGUACCAUUUACUUCAACAACUUUAUAAUAACAAAAGUUAGUCAAAUAAAAAAAAAGACAAAACAAGAAACUCACCUAACAGAAAAACCCCAUUAUAGAGAGAGAACACAUCAAAUCUCUAAACAAUAACUAAUAAAAAAUUCUCAUAUCUUCUUUUUUUUUGAAGGUUAGAUCUCAUAUAUUGAGAAGAAGAAGUAGAUAGUAGUACCAUGACCAUUGAAACCUUUGUUGCUUGGACUGGCUCCAAAGGCUUCUUGUUCCUUCUUUUUCUUCAAGGCCUUUCUCUUCUUAGCACCAGACGGCAUGAUCAAUGGAUUGUAAACGAGUAACAGAUGGAAAGAAAUCGAAGAAGGGGUUAAGUGUUGGUUCGUUCACUCCAAAGGCUAUCGAGCUUUCCUUCCCCCCGCAGUGGGGUUUGUUUUGUUUGGAUCUUUGUGGUGUGUGGACUUGAGUUGUGUUGCUCAGCUUUUUUGUCUGUAUGUGUGGGGAAAUACAAGUGUCGCAGUAACAGUCAAGUCAAGAGAUAAGGCGUCGUAGUCUUUUAUGGCAAUUAUUAAACGUGUCGAUACUGCUCCAUAUCUACAAUUUCGUCAUAAAUUAAUAACGGUUCGGUUUGGUUCUUCAGACUUCGGUUUGGUUAAGAUAAUCAUGCCAAAGCCCAUAACUUUCUCUACUUUUUUUUUUUUUUUGGGCUACAACUCUACUUAUUUUUUAUCAACAAUUUUCUCUACCUUUUUUUUUGUAACUACAAUUUUCUCUACAUAUAAAUCUAUAAUAACUUCUUCAUGAGCAAGAAACAAACUUUUAACGACGAACAAAAAAAAAACGAAACAAGCUACUUCAUGAGCAAGAAACAAUCCGCUAUUCUUUCCAAUUUUAUCCAAAAAAAUCUGAAUAUUUAUAGUUCUACGAAUCAAAUCAAAUACUAAUAUUUAAUAAUUUUAUAAAUGAUAAAAUUUUAAAUUUUUUAAUCUAAUAUGUGUAUAAAUUCACGUACUUUUAGACAUGUCGCAAAAUUUACAUGGUGAAGUGGUGAUGGCCUGAUGGGUUAUUAAUUUUGAAAGGGGUUUUGAUGAGCUUAACACAAUUGCCUUCAUGUUGGUGUACUUGGCCCUCUUCUCAGUUCUCAAUUGUAAAGAUAUGUUUGACCUGAGAGAGAGUAACGAUGGGAAUAAGCUCGAGGAAACUGUCAGAGCACCUUAGGAGUAGCUCCAUUAGACUCAAUUUCCAAUCAAUAAGCUUCAUCUUUCUACAUACAUACUACUAUCUAAUCACCAUUUUCGACAAUUCAAAAUGGGUCAGGCCUUUAAGAAACUUCACUUCACAAGACAGGACGAUGAUAGUCUUGGGUUCAAACAAGAUAACUUCUGCUUAUGACAAAUCUUUUUUUAUGGAUGCAAGAAUUGGCAAAAGAAAGACAUGUGAAGCUUGGGCUAAGGUUGGCUAAUAUAUACUUGUUCGAGAACUUAGAAUCUAAUAUAUGGUCGUAAUUUCUUAAACAACAAAGUUGAUAUGGCCGAGUUGGUCUAAGGCGCCAGAUUAAGGUUCUGGUCCGAAAGGGCGUGGGUUCAAAUCCCACUGUCAACACAUAAUUUUUUAUAAAUUUCAUCGUUUUGCACAUUUAAUUUGUUAAGGCUUGUAGAGUAAUCGCAUACACUACGUGUAAUUCAUUCAAUUUAUUUUUUAAACCGUGCAUGUUAUUAUCCGGUGAUCAAUGAGUUUGUGCACAAGAACUCUGUUUAUUCCCCAAAAAAAACCUUUAAGAUCAUAUUACUGGUUAUUCAUAAAAGCUCAAGAUUUUCUCUUAAACUCUGCUAAUCGUUAGAUUUGUUGAAUUCGUUUCUUUUAUUUAGUUUCUAUGUGAUCCAGUGGCAGUUUCCAAGCAAAGAACCUUUAAAAUGGUAAUAACCUUAAAAUCCAAAAUCCAAUAGCAAAAAAAAAAAAGAAACCGGCCUUGCUUAAUUAUAAGCUUCAAAAUCAAUCUCACUUCUUGCUGAAAGAGCAUCCUUCCGUUAACCUAGCCUUUCCUCGUAGGCUGGCACAGAACUGUCUGGCAGAUUAGGUGAGUGCUCACCAUUAAGGGUGCUCUAAGAGAUUCAAACUCUAUUUUUCACAUUAAUCACAGACCUAUGUGGUCUAGUACCCGUCGACUAGGACUGAGUUUACUAGUUUAGCCUAAUAAAAUGAAGGGAACACAGAUUUGACAUAUCUAUUCUCUGCAUGCUGGUGAUGUUUUCCAUAAUGACAAUUGUCAACCUCAACUAUGAAUUGGUGAGUUGACUUUUCUGGAGACUUAAGCAUAAGGCAGAAAAGAUAAAAUGGCCACAAAAAAUCUAACACUAAGUAUGGAGAAGACAAAGUCCCCUUCUCAAAUUCAGAAUCAUGGUAUACCACAAAUUAAAAGAGACUCUCUAACACAACAAAACGUGAAACCUACCUCUGCUUUAUACAAAGGCCAUGUUAACAAAAGAAGAGCCAAUUAACAAACAGAGACAACUACAUUAUAGACUAGCCUUGUCUCUCUUUUUUUUUUUUUUUAUCACGUUAAGUUCCAUGCGGAGCUAGCUUAAGCUGAGGGUGGUCAUAUGACCCAUAUGGAUUUUAUCAAAAGAAAAAUUUCCUUUGUAUUUUGAAACAAAACUGAAAAAAAAUGUUAAAGAUUUAUGUGAAGAUUAGAUUAAGAUGAAAAGAUGAAAAAUGUUUCAGAGAAGAAACUGUAUAAUUUUAUUAUUAGAUUCUUAUUUUUACAGAGAAGGAGAUGAUGAGUUCUUAUAGAACGAUAGUGGAACUCUCUAGAUUAGUUUUGAUCCUGUACACUAAUCCUUAUCCAUAUUAUUUUGACUUGAUGUUGGGUUUAUAGUUGGGCUUUGACUCCAAAUAUUAUUCACACUCCCCCUCAAACUUGGGGAGGGUGACCAACCAACACCAAGUUUGCUUCUAAGGUUGACAAACUCUUUUCUUGACAAGGGUUUGGUGAAGAUGUCUGCGACUUGAAGCUUGGCUGGUACAUGUUUGAUCUCAAUUAAUCCUAGAGCCACCUGCUCCCGGAUGUAGUGGUAGUCAGUAUCGAAGUGCUUGGACCUUUUGUGAAGUGCUGGAUUUGCACUGAGGUAGACGGCAGAGAGGUUGUCGCAUUGUAGAAGAGUAGGUUGAUAUUGUGCGAUACCAAUGUCUCUGAGGAGAGCGCAAUUCCAUGUGAUUUCUUGGGCAGUCUCCGUAAGAGCUCUAUAUUCAGCUUCUGUUGAUGAUCUUGAAACAGUGGGUUGUCUUCUUGUGCACCAAGAGACAAGGUUAGGUCCUAGCAGCGUACAAAAUCCAGUUGUUGAUCGCCGUGUCUCUUUACAACCGGCCCAAUCACUGUCACUAUAGGCCGUGAGGAUCAAGUCACAAUGCUUCUUGAUGUGUAAGCCCAUGUUUAUAGUUCCUUUGAUGUAGCGGAGGAUUCUUUUAAGAAGGCUGAAGUCUGUGUCAGUUGGAGAGUGCAUCCUCUGGCAGGCGAAAUUAACAGCAUACUGAAUGUCGGGACGUGUUAUAGUGAGAUACUGCAGCUUCCCGGCCAAGCUACGAAAGUAGGUAGGUUCCGAGAACUUCUCUGUCUCUGUAUUUUCAAUAUGCUGUGGUAGUGGUGUUGCCAUUGGGUUGCAAUUCGUCAUUGACGCUUGAUGUAAUAUGUCCUUCGCAUAUGCCGUUUGAUGGAGGAAGAGACCAUCGUCAUGAGAUUCGAUUUCAAUACCCAGGAAGUAGCGUGGAGGACCAAGAUCUUUCAUUGAAAACCUGCGGUUAAGAGUCUCGAGUAGAUCAUUUAGAAGCUGGGAGUGACUUCCUGUGAGGAGUAUAUCAUCCACAUACAAGAGCAGCACCAUUGUUUGUCCAUUCUUGUGAUAAGUGAAUAAUGAUGGAUCUGAUUUACUGCAUUUAAACCCAAACUCAAUAAUGUAGUUGCUAAAAGUGUCAUACCAGGCUCUAGGACCUUGCUUGAGACCAUAAAUGGCUUUGGUAAGACGGCAAACAUAUGACGGUUUAGUUUCGUCGAUGAAUCCGGGUGGUUGAAGCAUGAAAACAGGUUCCUUUAGCUCGCCGUGAAGGAAGGCAUUAGACACAUCAAGUUGUUUUAUUAUCCAGCCUUUCGCAGUAGCCACUUCAAGUACAAGCCGGAUCGUAGCAGUUCGAACGACAGGGCUGAAGGUUUCGAGAUAGUCAAGACCCUCUUCUUGAUCAAAGCCCUUUGCUACAAGACGAGCUUUUAAUUUUUCGACCGUUCCAUCAGGGUGAAAUUUUGUCUUGAACACCCAUCUGCUUCCCAAAAUGUUCAUGUCUUUGGUUGGUGGUACCAGAGACCAAGUAUUUAACAUGUGAAUUCUCUGCAUUUCUUCUUGUACCGCCACAUUCCAACCAGGAUGUUUCAAGGCACUUGUAAUUGUUUUGGGUUCUUCAACGGUAUACUUUGAAGCUUGAAGUGCAUAUCUUGUAUUUGGUUUGUAUAUGCCUGCCUUUGAUCUAGUAAUCAUUGAGUGUACAUUCUGGUUUUGAUCUUCUUCAACUUGCUCUGGAGUUGCUGUAUGAUCUGCGACAUUAUCUGUUUCAGUCGCUUCAUUAUCCUCUGUCACAGCCGGAUUUUCUGUUAAAGUAUCGGUUGUUGCAGGAGCAAAGAUAGGAGCCGGCAGUUCUCUUGAUUGAUGCUGUGUGGCAGACGUCUCUGUAGAUGAUGUAUUGGUUUGCCAAGCUUUCAGCAGUGACGUCUUGUAUCGGGGAACAAAGCUUUGAUAUCUUUGUUUGAAGGGGAAGCAUUCUUCAUCAAAUAACACAUGACGACAUAUGUAGACACGACCAGAAGGAGGGUAUAGACACCGGUAUCCCUUAUGUUGUGAACUAUACCCAAGGAAGACACACUGCAGUGAGCGAGGAUCAAACUUAUUUUCAGCUAAAGGUCUUAGGCAUGGAUAACAAGCUGAUCCGAAGACACGAAGAAAUGUAUAAUCUGGUUUAGCUUUGAAGAGUGUUUCAUAGGGGCUUUUGUGUUCUAACGCCGUUGAAGGUAGGAGGUUGCUUAUGAAACAAGCCGAAAAGAACGCUUCAACCCAAUAAUGUAGUGGAGUGUGACUUUGAUAUAACAUGGACAGUCCAAGCUCGAUCAAGUGUCGAUGUUUCCGUUCGGCUAAACCAUUUUGUUGUGGAGUAUACGGACAAGAGAUCCGAUGUCUGAUGCCAUUCUCUAAUAGGUGUUUCUUUAAUUGAUGAUUAGUGAAUUCUCCUCCACCAUCACUUUGAAAAACUUUAAUCUUGGAUGCAAACUGAUUUUCUACCAUCUUUUGAAAUGCAAAGAACACUGAGUUAAACUCAGACUUUGUACGUAGAGGAUAGAACCAAGCAAAACGAGAAAAGUCAUCAAUAAAAACCGCAUAAUAUUUGAAGCCUUGAUUCGAUACAACCGGUGACGGACCCCAUAGAUCACAGUGAAUCCGAUCUAAAGGUUGUAAAACACGUGAAUCCGAAUCAAAAAACUGAAGUUUACUACUUUUUCCCAUUUGGCAAGGCUCACAAAGAGGGGAGAUGCUGCUCUUAUUCUUAUUUACAAUGAUAUCCUUGCUGUUCUUUAGCUGCUGGAGAAUUUUUGAGUUGGAGUGCCCGAGUCGAUAAUGCCAAACUUCUUCACUUGCUGAACACUGACGGUUUGAAUAUAAAGCACUUAACUCUUGAUCCUCCAGCACAUAAAGUCCCUUACGUCGAGGACCCUUUGCCACCACUUUCUGAGUAUUUAGAUCAAUCACACAUACUUUAUUAGCGUCAAAGAAAACUCCACAUGAAUAGUCAUCGCACAGCUUAGAAACAGAGAGAAGUGAUUUUUGUAUAUCUGGGCAUACGACAACAUCAUUUAGUCGUAUGGUACCUGAAGAUGAGGAUAUGGUGGUGGAGCCAACAUGAGUUAUUGGUAAGAAUGUCCCAUCAGCAACUAGAACAGUGUCAUUGCCUUCAUACGGAGUUGAUGUCUGCAGCAUAUUUGGUGAAGCUGUGACAUGAGUUGAUGCUCCAGAGUCGGGGAACCAUUCUUUUCCUGAGUUAUCAGAUAUACGUAAAGAGGAGAAGGCUUGGUUUAGUUGCUGGCCUUGAAAAUUGUGAUCAAAGCGAUUAUAGCAUUUAAUUGCUGUGUGCCCGACACGACCACAGAUUUGACAAGUGGGGCGUUCACCAGAAUUGUGUAUGUUACUUUGAUGUUGAGGGAAACCUCUUCCUCGGGUUGAGUAUCCACUGCGACCACGGUUGAAUCCGGAACGAGAAUAGCCUCCACGACCUCUCUGAUUGUAGUUAGAACGUUGAGACUGAAACGCCAUAUGGGGGGUUGUUUCAGAAAUAUUUUCGUACGAUUGCAGUCGCGAGGCAAACGCUGAGAUCUCUGAAACCGCGUCAUUGAAGGUUGGUGGAGGUGUGCGUGACAUAGAAUUCUGGAUCACAGCGCAUACAGGAUCAUAGUCUCGACCCAACCCAUUCAUAAAACUGAAGAUUUUGAGUGAUUCUUCAACCGGUUUCCCAAUAGAACUUAGCUGGUCGCAAACUGUCCUGAACUCACUGCAAUAAGUAGAAAAUUCUCUGCCUUGGAGAGUCAUUAGCUGGAGUUUGCGUUUGAGUUCAAACUCUCUAGCAAUAGAGCUCCGGUUGAAGUUAUUGGCAAGGGAAAGCCAAACGUCUUGAGAUGUUGGAAGACAAUGAACGAAGCCAAGUACCUCCUCUGUUAAAGUGCCAAAAAUCCAAGAUUUGAUCAGCUCAUCAGUACAAAUCCAGUUAUCGUAGUCUGGAUUUGGGGUUGUGGUCUGAACUCCAUCUGUUGUGGUAACCGUAGUAGCUGAAGGAGCUGGGAUUUGGCCAUUAACGAACCCUAAUAGCUUUUGGGAACGAAGGAGAGACUCCAUCUGGGUUUUCCAUAGCAAAUAAUUACAGUCACUAAGCUUAAUUGUGACAGAACUAGCGAUGUGGAUCUUUGAAGGAAAAGGAUAAGAGCCAAGUCUUUCUGCCAUUGAAGCACCCGUGAAGGUUCAGAAAAGCUCUGAUACCAUGUGAAGAUUAGAUUAAGAUGAAAAGAUGAAAAAUGUUUCAGAGAAGAAACUGUAUAAUUUUAUUAUUAGAUUCUUAUUUUUACAGAGAAGGAGAUGAUGAGUUCUUAUAGAACGAUAGUGGAACUCUCUAGAUUAGUUUUGAUCCUGUACACUAAUCCUUAUCCAUAUUAUUUUGACUUGAUGUUGGGUUUAUAGUUGGGCUUUGACUCCAAAUAUUAUUCACAAUUUAAACCAUUGACCCAUGUAACAUAAUAAAAUUAUGCAAAUGACCCUAGUGAAAGGUUGAGCUGGCUCCGCCACUUCCAUCUGUCUUUGCUAGAGACAGACAGAACAAACAAAACGAAGAGAUGAGAGGGAAUGCAUCCUUAGUAACAUUAAACCACAAGAUUCUCGGGCCAUGUAGGAAACUCCUCAUCAGAAUCACCAAGAGCUGUCCUCGGCGCCAUAACCGGCAUUUGAAACUCAAGAAAGCUUCUUCUUCUUAUACUACUAAUUCAGGGAACAAGGUCACCAAAGCGGUGGCUUUGUUCUUUCGCACUUUCCAUAAGAAGAAGCAGAAGAAAGAGAAAAUGAAGCGGCUUAACGAACUAAGGAGCUUCUCGCACGCUGUCAGCGACCAGCAGAAGAAGACGUCAAACCAAGAAGAAAGUUUUCCCGUCAAGACUCACAAUGUCUUGGCUAGGUCAAGGGGAAGGGUAACAACACGCAAGAAGUCCCGCAAGAUUAUGAUCCACGUAGAGACAGCACAAGCGGAUUCAUUCCUGGAUUUUUUCAAAUUUAUUUAACUCAAAUCGGUUAUGUGUUGGACAUUAAUUUCUUUGCUUUCUCGAUGUACAGUUAUUGACAUUGAGACCUUUUUUUUUUUUACUCAAAUUGAAAUCAUUCAUAAUCGAAUUACCGGUAUUCAUACACAAGCUGGCGGCAAAACGAAAUAGCCCCAGAACCAAAAGCCCAUAAGAAGCGGCGGCUAAAACCCACACUGGAGCGACUAAAACCCACACUCGGGUGACUUGAAACAAACACAAACCAUAAAAACUAAAUCAACACUAGCCACGUUAACAUCCACGCAAAAAAACAUCAGAUAACUUAGCAAUUUUUAAAACAGAGUAAAUGUCAAUGGUCGGGAAGUACCGCUGCUGCCUAUAGCCCGCCACCCGGUACCCUCCACUUCUGCACCCAAACCACACUUAUCGCUGCUGCUCGCCGCCAAACGAUAAGACCAAAACCCGGGGACUUCAAACCUCGACAAGGGGAACCACUGCUCGGUCCACGCGCCUUGGAUACAUAAACACUCUACGAUCAAAGAAAGAAGCUCGCCCAACCACCAAGAAGACGAAGCCUUGCCAAGAACCUCUCCAACACUCACGGGAAAGGAACCAAACGACAAGCAACCAAAUGACACAUAACCCCUAGAACAAAGACUGCUAAGUCACAACCAUCAAGACGCUUACACCCAUGGCCUAUAACGAUUAAGACUCACACACUUAACAGUACAAGAGCCCAAUCAAAACGCUAAUUACCAUUGAGACCUUACACUACGUGUAUUUAGUUAUUUACAUAUUACGUGAUCCAUUAUAGCUCAAGAUCAAUUUUGUGUUUGCUUUAUGGUCAUGAUAAAAAAGUUGUACGAGAUUGAUGCAUAUAACCAUUUUAUGUAAUGGAGUUAAAUUUAAUAACUAGAGAAUCAAGAAACGGUUUUCAAGAUAUCAAGAAUCCGAAAUCAUAUAAAAGCAGAAGAGGAGAUAGACAUAUAUAUCCUAUAACUACAAGAACGGACCAUUUGCUUCAUUCCCCACCUACAACUUAGGCAAAUCAACUCACAUAACCCGGUGAGAAGUUUGAUACAUGAUGAACCAUUUUCCUCGGGCCAGUUCUUGGCAGCACCUCCAUUGUUGUAUGAGAACCUAAAAGCAGACACACAAAAAAAAAGAGAAAUUAAAAUGAAAUAAAAAAGACAGAGUUUCCUUCUAGCCUCAAGAAGCAGACAAGAUUAAUAUUUAACUCUUUUCAGAUUACUCUGUAAAAGAAGACUAAACUUUACGGUCCAAGAGAAUUGCUUGACAAUCUAAGAGAAACAACACAUUACACUUGAAGCUAAGCGUUUAACAUAGUGCCUAGCACUACAGGUAUGGUUCUCUAGAGACCGAGAGGAGAAUAAACGAAGAACUGUAUUCGAAACCCUAACUUUAAAAGGAAAAAAAAACAUGUACAGAAACAACGUCUAACAAAGCAAGGAACUGUAAUCACAAUCAACAAUCAAAAUGUCAAGCAAUUAGCAAUAUAUCAAAAUAACUCCAGAGAUUUAAAUGUAUAAACACUGAAACUACUCAUAUUGUGCGGCUAGAAGAAUCUUACUCUUUGGAGAGGACAAAGCUGGUACGAAGUGGUAGCAACUCAAAAGAAAUGAAGCCAUGGCAGAGAGUAUUAACGGUAAAAUUUAACUCUAAGAGACAGAGAGAGAACUAAGAGUGUAUUUAAGUAAAGUAAUGAUCUUUGGUGUGUCGCGUGCGUACAGUUCUGCACAUAGCACGCUGCACGUUUAUCGAUGAAUGUAAAGAGAAAAAAACUUUUGUUUUUGAUUUCGACGUUUCUUGUUUCAAGAUCCCUCCCUCUCAUUCGCGUUCUUUUUGAGAAAUAAUAACUUCUUUUAUUUCCCUGCUUCAAUUCGCUAACCGGGUUUGGGUCCGUAUUAGUGGGCCGACAAUGAAGCUUGAUUAGCUCUUAACGGGCCAAUCAAUACACACGAGGUUUUUAAUCGAGUUAAUAAUUAAUAUACAUUGUGCAUUUCUAGAACUCCUUGAUAUCAUCGGCAAUUGCUGUCUCUCUCACAAUCAAUGAGAACACAACAGCUGUUUCUAUUCAGUUUUUGUCCACAAACUAAUGUAUAUUCAUCACAUUUCGAUAAAUAAUUAAGUACAAAUGACACACUUGUCAAGCAUUCGAUUUUCAGUAAAAUUAACACGCAACAAUUAACAACUAUUGUUAUUUUUUCUUAAUUAACCGAUUUUUUGUGUGUUUUUUUUUACUGAAAUUUGGUGAAAUUUUUUUCUCCGUCUCUCUUUAAAUUUGAUGAAAUAUAAAAGAAUUUGAAGAAACGAAUUGAGGGACCAAUAUAUUUUUUUUCUAUCUUUUUGAUAUAUAUUUGAAGCAAUCUCCCCAACAUUGAUAAAUUUUCCAUAAAUUGCAAAAAAAAAAAAAGGCGAGAUGAUCAAAUGGCAAAACCGGGGUGGGGUAGUAGGCAACGUUUCAAGCCUCCAAAAAACCGGUUAACCUGAGAACCGAGUUACGAACCCGGCUCAAGUCUCUCCCCUUAAGAGUCCUUCCACUACCUGAACAAACUGAAAACGCCAUUUGUCCUCCUCCUUCUCCUUGAAUCCUCCGUCCGACUAUAACAUGCGGCGGAACGAUCUCUCCUCUUCCAUUGGAAUAUUCCUCCUCCUCAGAGUGUUCACCUUCCUCUUUCUCAACGUGCCUACGAAACAUGUUCUCCGGUAUAUUCACCGGCAGAGAGCUAGACAACGCCAUCACCUUCUUCUUUCUUUUGACGAUCCGCCGCGACUUGUUACUCUCCUUCAGACCGAACAGAUGAUUCUCAUCCUCGUCCUCUCUCUGGAAAACUGAGCUUAAAUCUUCAGAGAAUACAACCUCAGCUUCAUCGAAUUCCUCAGCCAUUUAUAAAACUUGAGAGAGGAUUCUCUUGGUUAUGAGACGAUUACAGAUUGAAGAAUCUUGAAAUAAGAUCGAUUUAAGCUAUGUAGAAUAUAUAUAUAUAUAUAUAUAUAUAUAUAUAUAGGAGGGAGUCUAUAUAGAAGAAGAAGGAAACGUAGAGAGUCUUGAGAAGUUGUUUUGUGUUGUAGUAUGUGUGUGUUUAACUGUUUAUGAAGUUAAAUGAUGUCAUGAUAAUAAUGGCAUAGAGUGCGGACCCCGCUUUACUUCUAUUACAUUUUGGACCACUUUCAUAUAUAAAAAUUAAAAUGAUUUUAUGGUAUAUACAAAUUAAAUUAUUUUUUAUGAUAUACAGUUAAUUUGGACCACUUUGUCCACACACAAAAAAAAAUUGGACCACUUUGAUUUUUUUUUUUUUUUUUUUUGUCGUCUACCCAUCUAAAACUAGAUCAAGUGGAGAACAGACGUGCCGAUUCUCCGAAGAGCAUCUCCAUCUGUCCGGGUCUGAUCUAUAUGGGAAAAAGCAUAGCCUCUCGUUCUUGCUUCUUUUGCUAGCGCGUCUGCUCGGCCAUUUCUACUCCGAGGAAUAUGAGACAGACUCACAUCCUCGAAGUUUUCCUGUAACCUCUGGAACACCUCAACCUCUGUCGCGAAUGCUGGCCAGUCCACCGGGUUUGUUGUCAUGUCCACUAAAUCUGAGCAGUCCGUCUCGAACCGUAUCGAGGUUAUUCCUCUGUCUCGCAUACAUGAAGCUGCCCAAAGUAAACCUUCCAUCUCAGCAUGCAAAGCUGAGAGGCUCCGGUUACACGCUCGUAAUCCGCAAUACUCCGAGCCCAUUUCAUCCCUAAGACUCCACCCUAAGCCACUAACGCUGCCAUUAUUGAUCCAUGAUGCAUCAAUUUGACAGGUAGGGAUUCGGGGUAUCCAGGAGGGCUGUAUCUCAACCUCUAUAGUAAGAGGAACAUCAUGAUCCUCAUAUGUUUCCUCCUUCUCAUUAGCCUUCUUCCAACAUUCUGCCUCGAGAGACGCAUGUUGGAGAGUAGCCAAUGGAGAUACGUCUUUACCAUUAAAGAGUUUGUCGUUCCUCGCCUUCCAAAUGUACCAACAGAUCCAUGGGAAGGUAUCGAAUUGUGGUCUCAGCGGAGCCACCUCUUUUCUCUUCCAAAACAGAAAGUUCAUGUUUUGGUAUACUGAUGUACUCGGGAAGUAACCCGGAAGGGACGGAUAGUCCGAUAAAGCCCAAACCUGUAGAGCAGGGGGACAAAUUGAUAUGAUCUUUGAUUUAUACAGAUGAAAAUGAUCUUUUAUGAUAUGCUUUACAUAUACAAAUUGAUAUGUACAGUUAAAAUGACUUUUUGGACCAUUUUGAUACAUACAAAUUAAAACGCUUUUAUAAUGAUAUGGACAUAUCUUAUCUAUAGUGUCUGUGUA
rnacentral:lncRNA from 1 species